rnacentral:rRNA from 1 species
UACGUAGGGGGCAAGCGUUGUCCGGAAUCACUGGGCGUAAAGCGUGCGCAGGCGGCCAUUCAAGUCAGGGGUGAAAGCCCAGAGCUCAACUCUGGAACUGCCCUUGAAACUGUAUGGCUUGAGUAUGAGAGAGGUGAGUGGAAUUCCCAGUGUAGAGGUGAAAUUCGUAGAUAUUGGGAAGAACACCGGUGGCGAAGGCGGCUCACUGGCUCAUAACUGACGCUCAUGCACGACAGCGUGGGGAUCAAACAGG